rnacentral:rRNA from 1 species
AUACGGAGGGGGUUAGCGUUGUUCGGAAUUACUGGGCGUAAAGCGCACGUAGGCGGAUUGGAAAGUUGGGGGUGAAAUCCCAGGGCUCAACCCUGGAACUGCCUCCAAAACUAACAGUCUAGAGUUCGAGAGAGGUGAGUGGAAUUCCAAGUGUAGAGGUGAAAUUCGUAGAUAUUUGGAGGAACACCAGUGGCGAAGGCGGCUCACUGGCUCGAUACUGACGCUGAGGUGCGAAAGCGUGGGGAGCAAACAGGAUUAGAUACCCCAGUAGUCC